rnacentral:sRNA from 12 species
GGGGGUUGUGGGUAUCGGUAACGACCCAGCGUUUGUAUUAGAACGUAGGACAACCCCGCCCUUU